AUCCCUCGCGUCUUCGAGCCCCGCUUCCCCUCGUCUCCUGUUUCCUCGAGCCCCGCGUCCCCUCCUCCAUGCUCUCCACCCGCCUCCCCCCCUUCGCGUUUCUCCUCCUCCGCUUAAAUUCCACGGCGGCGGCUGGCUCGAGGCGGGGGAGUGGCGGAUGCGGCCUCGGCAGCGGCACGAGAGGAGCGGUGGCGGCAGCGUCCAGCUGUGAAGAGGCGCCGCGCUCGGGCGCGAGAGACGGAGGCGGGAGCGCUGCCCCGGGUCCCAUCUGGGGAGGGUACGAGGCAGGGAAGGACGCCGCCAUCGCAGAGGAGAUGGUCAACAGGGAAAAGAUACACAUGGUGAUGAAGCUUAUGUACUCUCUCCCUGACGAAUAGAGGGGGACGAAUCAGGAUGGAUUCAAGCUGCCGACGCCUCUUCUUUGCUGCCAUGGACGAGCCCUCGCCCAGCGACCACCUCCAUUCAGCUGGCGGCAGACGGCGAUGGCCAACUCCCAGGUGCAGCCAGUGGGGAGGCGACAAUGGCAAGGGCGGCAGGAGACGCAGGUACCUUAGUGAACAUUGUGGAUUGUGCCUCCCACUGUGACUAUGUGCUUAAUUUGUUGUGAUCUGAAAGAGGAGAUGUGAGGAAAUAUUUAUAGCAGCUGAUCAACACUGUCGACUGCUGCCAUACAAGAGGCGUUUAUCACCGUGAUCUGAAGGUAGUGUGGCGUGGUGGUUACUGAUAUGCUCUAUGGAAGAAAAGUGUGUUGAUAGCAUUUUUCUUCUUCCAUGUAUCAUCCUGGAAAGCCUCUGCUUGAUGCUAACAGCACUCUCAAGGUGAUUUUGGACUAAGUGCUCUAUCGCAGCACGUCAGAGUAAGUAAUCUGACUCUUGUAUGGGAAGAAAAGUUGGUUGAUAGCAAUUUACUUCUUCCAUAUAUCAUCCUGAAAAUUCUCUGUUUGAUGCUAACGACAGUCUCAAGAUGAUUCUGAUCCUGAGGUUCUUAAUUUACAACGAUGCCUUAAAUUAGCUAUGUAUUCUUUUUAUUAAAGUGAAUAUUUUGUUCUCAUUUUUCAGUACUCUUGGAUGUAAAAGUUAAAAAUAAGAAAGGUUAUGACGGAGCCAAGGCUGAUAUGUUCACAAACGUUGCCGACGGUUGCCCUUUGUUGUGCAACGUCUAGGAUUGCGGUUCAUACAUUUUACUUGAUUCUGUUCUUUGUGUUUUUGUUCAUGGUCUACGCUGGCAUUUACCAUGGUUCCCCUUUCUUUCUUUUUUUCAGUCUUGAUCUGUGCAUGCGAAGAGUUCUUAUACGUAUUUGCAUGCCAACAAUUGAAGAUUGGCUCCUGCUUUAGUAUGUGCACUUAGUGUGUGUUCUUCCUGAUGCAGAGUUGGUUAACCUUCCAGUCAAAUUAGCCUACUGUUUCAGGGCCCAGUAGUUCUUUUGUUUGCUACUUGGUCGUACCUGUUAAGAAGCUACUACAUGCAGGUUCAUUGUCAGGUCGGUUGAUUGUUUUGUUGCUCACUGUUACAUGCAGGUUUAUUAGCUAUCCAAGAAAAUUAGCCUCUGGUUUCAAUGUCUGGCAGGGUAGGUUCCUUGUCAGGUUUGUUGGUUGUUUUGUUGCUCACCGAUGCAUGCAAGUUAGAUGGCUAUCCAGUAAAAUUAGCAUGUGGUUUCAGUAUCCAGUGGGUCUUUUGUUUACUUCCUUAUGCCUCUGCUCUUUUUGUUCGGUUGGUCGCUCGUGCAUGCAUAGUCAUUGGUUUUUUUUGUUGCUAACCGGUGCCUGCAAAGUGCAAACUAACUAACCAUCCAGUAAAAUGGAAGUUACACUCAGGUUCCAGUAGGUUUUUUGUUUGUUGCUUGCUCAUAUAUUCUGAAUUCUUGUGUCCUUAUUCUACCUGUUACGCUGUAGAUCAUUCAUGCCCUUGGAAUCUCUUUGUAGGCACCUCUUACAGAUUGUUUCCCUUUCUCCUUUUGUUUUGCAGGUCCAGUUGUUGGUAUCUUCAGCUGGUUUGCCGUCUACCCCUCUGUUGGCUCGUCGGUUAUUUGUCUUCCCACCAAGUGAGUGACCCACAAAGGAAGCACAAGGAAAAGAGCAAGCCAAAACACAAAUGGAGCGAUUGAAAGGCAAGGGACAAGCUCCUGUGACUAAAAUAACUAGGUAUUUUAAUCAGCCUUGUGCACUGCUAUACUUUUCUCGCUUUAUUAGUUUGGUUACACCAAGGGAACUACAUCAUCUGCGGUUGUGCCUAAAGAUCCUACCCAAACUGGAGGAACCGUUUUUGCUGGAGAUGUUGUUGACCCUGCAUCCAAAACAGAUGUUAGCAUUCAUGUUCAAUUCCACUCUUAUUGUUUUCCCUUUUGUGCAUUCCUCACCCCACGAGCAUCGCCAUGUCAUGAUAGGAAUCUAAGCAAGAUGCUCAGGAUGCUGCUGCUGUAGCUACUGAAGAUGUGAAGAAUGAGCAGUCUGAUCAGACUAAUAAAUCUAAUAAGUACAGACUCUUUCUCUGUAACAUCUGAGCAAUUGGCUGCAAGCCGUGCUAUAUCAUUUAAUUCUUUGCUGCUAAUUGAAGAAUCUUAGAAUUAAUGCUGGUGUCAAGGGCACCUGCUCAACAAAAAAGUCCAAGGCAGUAGUUCAUCCAUGCCCUGGGGUGUGGGUGUACGUGCGGUAUGCCCAUCACUGCCUCAGUUCCCUUAUACAAUCGUCAUGGAUCAAGCGUCAAGGCAGAUAACUUGCAGAUUAGAAGCCAAAAAGAGGCAAAAGAUUCCAAAGCAAAAUGAGAAUACUAACAAAGUGUUGUCGCUUAACAAUUGCAUACUGUCGCCAGUCUUCGAGCUCUGAUGAAGAUUCAAGCGACAGCUCAAAAACAAUGAAUUCUAAUAGAUGAUUGCAUUUUAAAAA